GCGGGCGUGGCGGAAUUGGUAGACGCGCUUGGUUUAGGUCCAAGUAUCGUGAGAUGUGGGGGUUCGAGUCCCUUCGCCCGCACCA
rnacentral:tRNA from 2 species